rnacentral:rRNA from 1 species
GACGAACGCUGGCGGCGUGCUUAACACAUGCAAGUCGAACGGUGAAAGGGGGCUUGCCCCCUGGAUCAGUGGCGAACGGGUGAGUAACACGUGGGCAACCUGCCCCUGACUCUGGGAUAACGCUUCGAAAGAGGUGCUAAUACCGGAUACGAACUCCCACGGCAUCGUGGGAGUUGGAAAGUUUUCGGUCAGGGAUGGGCCCGCGGCCUAUCAGCUUGUUGGUGAGGUAACGGCUCACCAAGGCGACGACGGGUAGCCGGCCUGAGAGGGCGACCGGCCACACUGGGACUGAGACACGGCCCAGACUCCUACGGGAGGCAGCAGUGGGGAAUAUUGGACAAUGGGGGCAACCCUGAUCCAGCCAUGCUGCGUGAGUGAUGAAGGCCUUAGGGUUGUAAAGCUCUUUCACCGGGGAAGAUAAUGACGGUACCCGGAGAAGAAGCCCCGGCUAACUUCGUGCAGCAGCCGCAGUAAGAC